GCCAUCGUAGUAUAGUGGUCAGUACUUCCGCUUGUGGAUUCCAGAGACUUGAAAAAUCCCUCAAUACACGAAUUCGCGGACAACAUUGGUUCGAUUCCAGUCGAUGGCA